rnacentral:rRNA from 1 species
GGGCCCGCACAAGCGGUGGAGCAUGUGGUUUAAUUCGACGCAACGCGCAGAACCUUACCAGCCCUUGACAUCCCGGUCGCGGACUCCAGAGACGGAGUUCUUCAGUUCGGCUGGACCGGAGACAGGUGCUGCAUGGCUGUCGUCAGCUCGUGUCGUGAGAUGUUGGGUUAAGUCCCGCAACGAGCGCAACCCCCGUCCUUAGUUGCUACCAUUUAGUUGAGCACUCUAAGGAGACUGCCGGUGAUAAGCCGCGAGGAAGGUGGGGAUGACGUCAAGUCCUCAUGGCCCUUACGGGCUGGGCUACACACGUGCUACAAUGGCGGUGACAAUGGGACGCUAAGGGGCAACCCUUCGCAAAUCUCAAAAAGCCGUCUCAGUUCGGAUUGGGCUCUGCAACUCGAGCCCAUGAAGUUGGAAUCGCUAGUAAUCGUGGAUCAGCACGCCACGGUGAAUACGUUCCCGGGCCUU